rnacentral:rRNA from 1 species
UACGUAGGGGGCAAGCGUUGUCCGGAUUUAUUGGGCGUAAAGAGCGUGUAGGCGGCUUGGUAGGUCCGCUGUGAAAACUCGAGGCUCAACCUCGAGAUGUCGGCGGAAACCACUUGGCUAGAGUCCGGAAGAGGAGAGUGGAAUUCCCGGUGUAGCGGUGAAAUGCGCAGAUAUCGGGAAGAACACCUAUGGCGAAGGCGGCUCUCUAUCUCGAUUCUGACGCUGAGGCGCGAAAGCUAGGGGAGCAAACGGG